rnacentral:miRNA from 1 species
UCUCUCCAUUCCGCGUGCUCCCU